GAGGAAGAUAUAACGAAAGGGGGAGUGUGUUCUGUACAGUUGACUGUAGAGAGAGAGGGGGGAAAGGAGAGAGAGAGCGAGAGAGAGAGAGAGAGAGAGAGAGAGAGAGAGAGAGUGAGCAGCCGCCGGCCCAUUGAGGAAAGAUGGCUACAGUCACUGCAAACGGAGUGCAGCAAGAGAAUGGAUUCAGCACCACGAACAGCGCCGGCAGGAUGAACGGGCUUACCAUCGGCCAGAACACCAUUCCAAUGAAGGACCACGACGCCAUCAAGCUUUUCAUCGGGCAGAUUCCCAGAAACCUGGAGGAAAAAGACCUGAAACCCCUGUUUGAGGAAUUCGGAAAGAUAUACGAACUCACUGUACUGAAAGACAGGUUUACGGGAAUGCAUAAAGGAUGUGCCUUUCUUACAUACUGUGCCAGAGAGUCUGCACUGAAGGCCCAGAGCGCCCUCCAUGAACAGAAGACUCUGCCAGGGAUGAACCGGCCCAUCCAGGUGAAGCCAGCCGACAGCGAAGGACGAGGAGAAGACAGGAAGCUGUUUGUGGGAAUGCUCGGCAAGCAGCAGAGCGAGGAUGACGUCCGGCGGCUGUUCGAGACCUUCGGCCAGAUCGAGGAGUGCACCGUCCUGCGAGGGCCUGAUGGGGCCAGUAAGGGCUGUGCCUUUGUCAAGUUCUCCAGCCACGCAGAAGCCCAAGCCGCCAUCAACAGCUUGCACGGUGGACAGACUAUGCCUGGAGCCUCAUCGAGUUUGGUAGUCAAGUUUGCAGACACUGAUAAGGAGAGGACCCUGCGCAGGAUGCACCAGAUGGCAGGCCAGCUCGGCAUCUUCAGUCCCAUGACCAUCCAGUUUGGGGCCUAUGGCGCCUACUCUCAUGCUGUAAGUCUCAGCCCGGCGGGGGAGGAGACGCAGAUGAUGCAACAGCAAGCAGCCCUGAUGGCAGCAACACAAGGGUCCUACCUGAACCCCAUGGCAGCCAUCGCUGCGGCGCAAAUGCAGCAAAUGGCAGCUUUCAAUGUCAACGGCCUGGUAGCUACUCCCAUGACACCGUCCUCAGGCACCAGCACACCCCCAGGCAUCAGUGCCACAGCCGUCCCCAGCAUAGCCACCCCUAUUGGGGUCAACGGAUUCAGCGCCCUUCCGCCUCAAAGCAACGGGCAGCCCACCUCUGAGCCCAUCUACACCAAUGGUAUUCAUCCUUACCCAGCACAGAGUCCAACGGUGACCGACCCUCUCCAACAGGCUUAUGCUGGCGUCCAACACUACGCAGCAGCCUACCCUGCCGCCUAUGCGCCAAUCAGCCAAGCGUUCCCCCAGCAACCAACCAUCAUUCCCCAGCAACAGAGGGAAGGGCCAGAAGGUUGCAACCUGUUUAUUUAUCACCUGCCCCAGGAGUUCGGAGAUGCUGAACUCAUGCAAAUGUUCCUGCCUUUUGGCAACGUCAUCUCGGCCAAAGUCUUCGUAGACCGAGCAACCAAUCAGAGCAAAUGUUUUGGCUUUGUGAGUUUUGAUAACCCGUCCAGUGCUCAAGCCGCUAUCCAGGCCAUGAACGGCUUUCAGAUAGGCAUGAAGAGGCUGAAGGUGCAGCUAAAGCGGCCAAAGGACGCCAACCGACCUUACUGACUCAUCUGCUGUCCGUAUCCAGUGUGAGGUGGCCUUUCUCCGCUAUAGCCACAUCCCCCCACACCUGUCAUGGGGCCAAGUUCCCACAGCUGAUGAAGGGCCACAACACCUUAUUUCCACAAGUGCAGUAAAAGUACAAAGACUUCUUGCUCUGCUACAUAUCAUGAAGGAAGGGUGGUCCCUUGAUCCUGCUGGAAACCCACUGAAAGAUUGGGUGACUAAGAGAAGGAUCCCAGAGUCUUUUUUUUUAUUUUUUAUUUUAUUUUACUUUUUCUUUCUUCGCAAAUGCCUAUUUUUUCCCUGUUUUGCUUUGGCGUCUGUGGAAGAAGAUUUUUUGCAGAGACCAACUUUUUGCUGCUGUUUUUUAGACAUGAUGGGAAAAAAAACCUUUAUAGACUCAUUAUGCUCAAAGCAUGCAUACUGACACAGGAUAUAGAUAAACACACAGAUAACAAACCAAACAUACACAUUUAAAGAUGCUACACCUAAAAAAUAUGAAAAAAACUACUUUGUACAUGUAUAAAUACGUGCAAAUGCCAACUCAAGUACUGAAGCAAACACAUGCGUGUGCGCACACAGACAUACACACAAACACACACACCAGCCUGCUGCCAUUUUGGUUUUUGUGCCUACACAGGUGUUGUGCUCUGUGACAGGGCAAGCUCUGGAUUGAUGAAGAAAAAGAGAAGAACGAAGAGGAAAGGAGAGGACAGAAGAGAAGAGAAGAGAAGAGAAGAGAAGAGGAGAAUCCAGGAUAAUUUACAUGCAUCAUUCCUUAGGAAAUAGGGACCAAAGGACUAAACGCUUUUUAAAAGAAUAUAAAUAUAUAAAUAUAUAAAUAUAUAUUUAAAAACUCAUACCUUGUAGCUGCAAGUAUUACAAUUUACUCGUAGUCAAAAAAAUCAUUAAAUCAAUAUCCAGUGGCCUACUGUAAGUAUGAAUAAAAGAAAAUGGAAAUAAUGUAUUAAAAAAAGACAUGGAAUCGUAGUAUAGGGGCUGACCUUUUGCUCUGGAUGCUGAUUUAGCACCAGGUUGUAGAAUAGUAAAAGUAGAUUAGAAAAAAAAGUAGAUUUGCUAACUUUUGCUGUUGUUUAAAAAAAAUACUUGAAGUCGUAUUGAAAAGGGGCAAAUGGGAGGAUAUAAAGGAAACAUUCAUCUGCCCCUGUACGCAAUGAGUCUCUCUCUCUUGGAUGUUAAGGUAUCAGCCACUGGAUAUCUCGCUCAUCACAAUGUAUAAGUCACCACAGUCUCUGACAGCUAUGAACAGACUGUUUUGGAAAUCACAAAAAAAAGAAUGACAUGAUAAGAUAAAAAAGACUGAACUUCUGAACGUCUGUGCUGGACAGGGUGCAGAUGUUUAAGGCUUUUCAGUAGCCUUUGUGUUCAAGCGACAAUCCACUGUAAAGACCAAGCUAAAUGGACAUGGGGAGUCUUUUUGUUUUAUUUUGUUCCGUUACUUUUCUUUUUCUUUGUUUGGUUUGUUUUCAUUUUACUUGACCUUUCGUAUUGCAACAUGGAGUGUGAACUAUAAAGCCACAAAUUGUUAAAGGAAGAUGAUUCCACUAAGACAAAUGGACAAAUGAAAAGGAUUUGAAAGAGGGGAGGGGAAGUAAGGUGACAGCUACUGAAACUGCCAGCAGAAAGAACUCACGGUGUUAGAAUUCCUACAGAAACAAAGUAUACCCAUUAGAAAAAAAAAAAAAAAUCAGCCUUAUACAAGCAAUAUGCCAAGGAUGUCUGUAUCCACGGGAGUCGCUGCAAAAUUCCAGAUUGAGAAAAAUUGCUUCUCGUCACUUGGCAGAAGCAAACAAACAUUUCUCUGAAGACAAACUUAAUUUACUGUAUUGAUGGCAAAGGAGUGCAGGCUUUUAGAGCUCAUUUAGCUCUGCCAAAUAUAAUGUAAAUUCCACAGUUAACAUGUUCCCAGACUUUCUUCAUAUAUAAUACAUAAAGCCUAUUGAGAAAAAAAAAACCUGUGCUUAAACAGACGAUGUCUAAAUUAGAUCUAACAUUCACGCUUAACCAUUAUUCAGCUAGUUUGUAGCCUCUCUGACACUGACGCCAGACAGGACAGAGUAAAGCACUCGGCUGCUGUCAUGUCUUGAUUUAGAGUCCUGCAGCCUUUAUUUUGACUUUUUUACAGCUCAGAAUAGAGGCGCUUGUCUAAAAGCAGAUCAAUAUGUUUGGAAUGGGUCGAGAGGGAGGAACAAUGCUGUUUCAGUCAAUCUAAGGACUUCCCAAUUUUUCUCCGUCCAACACCAGCUCACAUCCGUACACCAGCCCUUUGAGCCUUGACAGCUGGCCAUAAGAGCGGAAGAGGGAGGGAAGGAGAUGUGAAAACACCAGAAGGCAAUACAAAAAACAAACAAAACAUUAUUUUGUAACCCUUUAAAAGUAUGCUCAUAGAUAGACUCCCGAUGAUUUAACAUAAAAAUAUACUUCAUCUGUCUUGUACUGUAUGUGAGGAUUGAAAUAUUAGAGUAGAUUUGGAUCCUCUUCUAGACCUUCCCUUCACAUUUUUUCUGUUGUUCUUCAAAGGAAAUACCAGACAGGGCCCAUUCCAAAUCACAGAAGGAGGGACCGAGAAAAUGUGCCAGCAGUUUCCACAGAAUCAAUGCACUGCCAUUCGUUGUCAUUUAAAUAAGCAGAAGGUCUUGAUUUGAGUUCUUGAUAGCAGCGUGCCAUGCACUCCCUUUGUUUUCCCUGUCCUAAGAGCAGCCAUGCCUUUCCAAACCUCAGCACAACUGUUCAGCGACUCUCCCUUGGAGAAGCAUUUUCGAACCCGGCUAAUGUCUGUGCUCACUACCCUUCAAUUAUCUCCUGCACCGUAUUAGACAUGCUAUUUCACCUUUCUCCCUAAUCACACUGUAAUCACCAGCCUCUAUACAUUAGCAGCAACCAAGUGAAAAAUCACUGGGAUAAUCACUUGGACCAAAUGACGGGAGAGAUGGUCCCCUGCAUGCACAUGGAUGACAGAAGGAAGAUUAGAGAGAAUUAUGUUUGUGCCUACUCCCUGGCAAGGCUGCUGACAGCUGACCUGGCACCAAUAAUACUGCCGAAUUUACUCAAAGAGGCGAUGGAGACUGUGGGAUGAAGCCUUCUGCAUUUUAGAUAGGUGUUAUUAUCAUUGUAGACAUUGACACUGACAUUACAAAAACUUUUAGGAAGAAAGUAGGCAGCCAAAUGUAUGACAGCUUCUUUCUUUAGUACAAACAUUGCAACAACAGUUGCUUGAAACUGGGUCAAACCCAUUCUGGUAAAAACCCUCAAUUCUGUAGAAGCAGCUACAGUAAACCCUGUGUCAUUGUGCUUCAGUGCAUAAUUCUGUUCAACCUACAGUAUCUCUACAGGGGCCACUGUAUUUGUUUUCAUUUUCAAAAUAACUUUGUACACAUUUAUUUCUUUUUUUUUUGCUUGUACCCCUGCUAGGACACCAGCAAAGCACCUUGCUGUCCAGCGCUAAAAGAAUAUUUGUGAAGAACAGUAGUUCUUCAGAUUUGCAGUUAUGCCCUUCAAAAUGACAAAUUGCCUUCAGGAACAUCUAAGGUAAAACUGCUGUCUAGCAUGUGAGGCAAGAAGCUUCUUGAAUUUAUGUGAAGUAGGUCAAAACAAAGCCAUGUUAUGCAAACAAUUUGUGCUCAUUAUAUGUAAGAAGCUGAACAAAUCGGUCGCAAAUCUAAUGUUCCAUGAGCAAUCAAAUUUCCUGUGCGUGUCUCUGCCAUAUAUACAGUAUGUUCUGCAAGUAAGGCUCUGUGAGGCUGAACAUAAACCCUGCAUGCCUGCUCCAAUGAUCCUUUCUGUCUUACAACUUUUAUACCAGAUGCUGCACUAGUUCCCACUGCUAAUGGCAGGUUGAGUCCCCGGUGAGCCAAAGCCCAGCCUAGCCUAGUACCCUGCUGUCUGCUUGGCUAACGGUGCAGUGUUAUGUAGCAUCUCUGAUAUGCCAGGGCUAAAUUAGGCAACGUGAAAUCAGCACUUCAACACUUUUAACAAGGGUGCUCUUAUUACUUUUACACCCUGGGGAGGAUGAUACUGAAGUGACGUGCUUUAAAAACAGAAAUAGCUGUGAAAUAUUCUCUGGAACAAGUGAAACAAGAAAAGAGUUUGUUUUUAAGUACUUUCAUUCCUUUAUUUAUUGACAGGAAUUGCUGACUGCUGUGCUCAUCGCCUCAGUUUGGUGUAUGUUUGGUCCAAAGAGAUGAUGGAACCUGUCAUUUUAGCCUAAAGAAAUGAAUCCAUGAAUUGUGAGAACAUAAUAUUAAGCAUAUAAGGUUAAACAUGCAAAAACUAAAUACAUAUAUAUAUAUAUAAAAACAAAAAGAAGGAAUACUGCACACAACUAAAAUACAUAUUUUAGACUACAGCAUUCCUGGCACUGAUGGAUUUACCUACUCUGAUCCUAUGUCAUCAAAUUAUAAAUUAAGUAGCAUAUAUACAUACUAGACCAAUUUCAUUAACUGCCACUACAGCACUGCUGAAAACUAAGUCCUCUAGGAGCAUAUGUCCUUAGAGAGCCUGUCCAAUGGCGAGGCCAAGCAGAGAACUGCUAAAGCAUGUCUACCCCUCUCCAAUCCCCUGGGUGCAUAACACUCACCCUAAAAUAGCAGUGAUUGUCAAGGAAAGGAAGUGAAAUGUAAUUGACUGAAAGUGGAGAGAUAAUUAAAGGAACCUGUUGGACAGGAGGGGAGAAAUUAAUGCCUCUCAUUUAAUAGCUGCUUUGGGAGAGAGCUUUUCCGUCAUCUCGCUUUAGCGCGGAACAGGUUUUGCUGUGGAAAUGGGGAUUUUGUAUGAGGGGAAAAAAAAGGUGCAGGUGGAAAUAGGCACUGGGUGGUGGGGGUGCUGUGUGCUAAACUGAAACUCCACAAAAUCGCUCCCAAUACUCAGGGCAUCAGGCGCUAUGAUGUCAUGAUUAGUGGAGAGGUUCAGAGCCUUGCCUUACCCCUGAUCCUGAGGGAGGUCGCGUAGAAUCACAAAUAUGAGGUCAGAGGGAGCUAUAAGAUCGCAUCUCAUGGCAGGGAGUGCUGAGCUAGCAGAAGGGCUGAUGAACCACCUAAAUCGUGUUUUGGAUUUAUAGCAUCAUCAUCCAGUUCCAAGAGUUAAAAAAAGAAAGAAAAAAAAAAACAGGAAAAAAUGAUGCCAUGUCCACCCAACAAUGUACAGUUGAAUUGCUGUAGGUGUGCAACAACAUGGCUGAGAGUAAUGAAGACAAAGACUUUUUUUAUUCCUUAAUGUAAAUAGCCUAUAAAAUACAAAAACAGAGAAAGGUUGUAUAGGAGCUUGUGUUGAGAAACCCAACUCUGUGGGACAAUGAUGUCACUAUAAAACGUAUCCACAGCAGUGCAGGGAUCUAGGAGAGUUUUAGUCCUUUUAAGCCCCUCAAGUUUGGACUCUGAACAUGCAUCCUACAACACUAAGCAUCGGACUGAGGCUUAGAGGGUAUUUGACUUAGUGUCAAGUCUAAGCUGUUGCCCUGGAGUGAUCCGUUAAUCAAGAUUCUGUGUACACCGACAUGUCAUGAUUUUUCUGACAGAAGCAAGAUCGCCUGUGCAGUAAUUGGAUUAGUCCAAUUGGGCCUGAUGAACAGAUAUGACAGUGACAGCAGAGUUCAUCCAUCUGCAUGCUUACUGCUUGACAGAGCGACCAAAAAAAUUAAAGAAAGAAAAAGCAAAAGCAAAAAAAAACAAACAAACAAACAAAAAAAAACAGCAGCCACCAUCACACUCUUUCAAAGUCUCUGGAAGUGAAAGAACAGACUUGGCAACACUGACAGUAGUUUUACAAAUGAAUCUUAAAGCUCCAGGAAUUUGUUUUGUUUAAUGUGUAGAUAAAUCAUUUUGGAAUCAAACGCGCAUUACAUAUCAUCGAAACCACAUUUACCAAGUUAUACAGAGAUAAGAGGAUGGGGACAAUGUCAAAAAAGACAUUAUAAAACCAGUUGACAGCCCCACCUGCUUGAACCAAUCUACCACUGCUCUCCUGACCAAACACAUGCAUUACCCGUGUACAUACAAUAUAGCUUAUUUUUCAAUUCUGUUAUACAUCCUUUAUAGACCAUACAAUAGAUCAUGUUCAAACAUUAAAAAAAAAAAAAAGAAAAGAAUAGUUAAUAUAUUUCAGUGAAACUAAGAGAGGGAACCUAUGAGAUAAUUUAUCAAAAACAGAAGAUAAAAUGAUUUUAUUUCUUGUAUAGUAAAGCACUGAUGUUAAAAGUGGGAUUUUAUACUCAUGUUUAGUAAAUGGUUCUUUAUUUUCUCUCUUUUGAUUUAUUAUCGACUGAAGCUGGGAUGGGCCCAUUGUCAUGAGGUUUAUUAUGAUAUGUUUUAUUCAUAUGCUCUUUUUGGCUGCACAAUUCCUGUAUAAAGCCUCUAAUUUUUGGGCACAUUCAAAGAUACUGUAUCUCGCUCACCGAAAACUCCUGAAGAAAUACAAUUAACAAACUGCACUGUAAAAUGGUGAUUGAUGGUACUGGUCAAAAAAAACAAUGAUAAUCAGCUUUACAUGUUGAAAGAGAAUCUCAUUUGAGGCCUUUUGUUGUUUUUGAAAAAAGUAAGAAAUGAAACGUAGUAUUCAUGUUGAUUUUCAGAUCUAUGCUGUCAUAUCCCAUUGUUAUUGCCAUGAAUGGAUUCCUGUAUUGUAAUUUUCUUUGUGUAACUGUUGGGGUUUUUUGUAUGUUUUCUUAAGGUUUGGUAAUCACUGGCAUAUCUGUGAUUUGCAUCGUCUGAUCUUACUUAUGGAGGGUUACUUUCCACCUCAGUGUUUUUGAGAUCAAUUGUUUUAAUGUACAACAUCCACUAAAUGUGUUGUACCAGCAGUAAAUUGUGCCACAUUGCUUCGCUCCAGUCAGAUUGAUUUGUUGAUGUGAGGAGAGGAUUCUGCCUUAAACCCAGUCUGUUCUCUCUGACAGUACUACCUGUGAACAGUGGUCGGACACACAGUAUUCUGGGGAUGCCAAAUGCUUCAUCUUUGAAGGUGAAUAAUCUGUUGUAAAGACAAAUACUUUGCCAGAGUCAGUUUAGCCUCAAGCCCAUUCUGACACAAAUAAGGACGUGGUCAUCCACUUCCAUUUCCACUGGUUACAAGGACCAAAUUGUAAACAAACUCAGCUAACUGAGCAGUUUGCUCCAAUCAAGCAUUCAAAUAGAGCCUUUAAAGAAUUCACAUUUAGUCGUAGAAAUGUUUGCACCAUGAAUCUUUGUAUCAUGAAUCAUUGCAUUCCCAGCUUCACUGUCUAAUUUCAUAUAAUUCAUUUAUUCUCAUGCAAAAUUAAUUUAUCAUAAUAUAUUUAAGUAUUUAUGAAUGAGUGGAAUGAUUAUUUGUUUUAUGAUUUGACUUGAACAAACUGAGUUACUGUUUUCUUUUCGUUUGAAACAGAGAUGUAAUUUGAAUUAGCGUUGGCUCGGGUCCGUUCCCCUGAUUCGGAGUGAUAACUCCCAUAGUGCUCCUGAACUCUGUAGUUCUCUAGUUCAUUAUAUUCCGCUUAGACUAAAAUAAAGCACAGUCCUGUAGAAAACUGA